AACCUAUUAGCUCAAAUGGUAGAGCACUAUACAGAUGUAUAGGGGAUGUAGGUUCGAUUCCUACAUAGGUUG
rnacentral:tRNA from 1 species